AAUUAAAAUAUAAAUUAUAAUAUAAAUUUUUAUAUUAUAAUUAAAUAUUUAUAUAAAUUAUAAUAUAAAUUUUUAUAUUAUAAUUAAAUAUUUAUAUAAAUUAUAAUAUAAAUUUUUAUAUUAUAAUUAAAUAUUUAUAUAAAUUAUAAUAUAAAUUUUUAUAUUAUAAUUAAAUAUUUAAAUUAUAAUUUAUAUUAAUAUAAAUAAUUUAAUAAUAUAUUUAUAUAUAUAAAUAAUAAAAUAUUUAUUUAAAUAUAUAAAUAUAUCUCAAUGAAAACAUAAUUAUAGUUCUUAUAAUAACAAUAGAAAAUCAUUUAUAUAAUUAUGGGUCCUAAAUGAAGAAAAAAAAUAAACAACUUAAUAUAUAAUAAAUUUAUAUUAAUAUAAAAUAGAUUUAUAUAAAUUAUUAAUUAAUUAUAAGCAUAAUUAAUUAAAUAUAUAUUAUAUAUAUAAAUAUAAAAUUUUAUAUAUAUAUAUAUUAUAUAUUAAUAUAUUUAAUUUAUAAAUAAAUAUUAUUUAUUUAUUUAUUAAUUAAUAAAUAUAUAUAUAUAUAUAAAUUAUUUAUAUUAAUCUAUUUUAUAAAAUAUUUAUUAAUAUAAAUAAAUUUAUAUAUAUAUAUAUAUUAUUUAUUAAUAUAAAUAAAUUUAUAUAUUUAAUAUAAAAUUUUAUAUUAAAAAAAAAAAAAAAAAAAAUUAAGGGAAAACUAAAAAUAUUUAAUAAUUAUAGUAAAUAUUUAUUAAUAAUUAUAUUAUAUAAUUAUAAAAAUAUUAUAAUAUUAUUUUAUUUUGGUUAA
rnacentral:rRNA from 1 species